AGAGUUUGAUCCUGGCUCAGGACGAACGCUGGCGGCGUGCCUAAUACAUGCAAGUAGAACGCUGAAGAGAGGAGCUUGCUCUUCUUGGAUGAGUUGCGAACGGGUGAGUAACGCGUAGGUAACCUGCCUUGUAGCGGGGGAUAACUAUUGGAAACGAUAGCUAAUACCGCAUAACAAUGGAUGACACAUGUCAUUUAUUUGAAAGGGGCAAUUGCUCCACUACAAGAUGGACCUGCGUUGUAUUAGCUAGUAGGUGAGGUAAUGGCUCACCUAGGCGACGAUACAUAGCCGACCUGAGAGGGUGAUCGGCCACACUGGGACUGAGACACGGCCCAGACUCCUACGGGAGGCAGCAGUAGGGAAUCUUCGGCAAUGGGGGCAACCCUGACCGAGCAACGCCGCGUGAGUGAAGAAGGUUUUCGGAUCGUAAAGCUCUGUUGUAAGUCAAGAACGGGUGUGAGAGUGGAAAGUUCACACUGUGACGGUAGCUUACCAGAAAGGGACGGCUAACUACGUGCCAGCAGCCGCGGUAAUACGUAGGUCCCGAGCGUUGUCCGGAUUUAUUGGGCGUAAAGCGAGCGCAGGCGGUUUGAUAAGUCUGAAGUUAAAGGCUGUGGCUCAACCAUAGUUCGCUUUGGAAACUGUCAAACUUGAGUGCAGAAGGGGAGAGUGGAAUUCCAUGUGUAGCGGUGAAAUGCGUAGAUAUAUGGAGGAACACCGGUGGCGAAAGCGGCUCUCUGGUCUGUAACUGACGCUGAGGCUCGAAAGCGUGGGGAGCGAACAGGAUUAGAUACCCUGGUAGUCCACGCCGUAAACGAUGAGUGCUAGGUGUUGGAUCCUUUCCGGGAUUCAGUGCCGCAGCUAACGCAUUAAGCACU
rnacentral:rRNA from 1 species